UACAGAGGUCUCAAGCGUUGUUCGGAUUCAUUGGGCGUAAAGGGUAGGUAGGUGGUCUCAUUUGUCUGGGGUGAAAUCCUUGGGCUUAACCUAAGAAGUGCCUCAGAAACGGUGAGACUGGAGUCCUGGAGAGGGUCGUGGAAUUCCCGGUGUAGCGGUGAAAUGCGUAGAGAUCGGGAGGAACACCAGAGGCGAAGGCGGCGACCUGGACAGGUACUGACACUCAACUACGAAAGCGUGGGGAGCAAACAGGAUUAGA
rnacentral:rRNA from 1 species